rnacentral:other from 1 species
UUUCCUGAGAUGUUCGUGUGCCUUUUUAUGGUGCCGGCCGUACAAGCAAUGAUUGGAAGCUCAAUGUCAAGAUGGUGUGCAUGCCUUUUUUUAGGAAGCCUAAAGUUUUGCUAGAGAGUCCACCCUGGUUAGCCAGGUCACGUGCCCAUUACUGAUCACGGCAUUUCGGGAAU